rnacentral:rRNA from 1 species
AAACUAAUUUAGUUUGGCGGCAUUUCAUCUAACUAGAGGAAUUUGUUUAUUAAUCGAUAUUACACGAUAAAUUUCACUUUAAUUUAAAAUUUAUAUACCUCCAUCUUAAGAAUUAAUUUAAAAAUAUUUCUCCUAAAAAUAAAUAAAAAGUUAGGUCAAGGUGCAACUCAUAUUAAAGANUUAAAUGAAUUACAUUAAAUAUAAUUUAAAGACUAAACAUUCAAAUAUCUAUAUAAAUUAGAAUUUAGAUACAAUAAUUUAAUAAUAUUAAAAUAUGAAGCAGAUAAUAAAUGUGUACACAUCGCCC